rnacentral:lncRNA from 1 species
CCUCAGCAACUUAAUAGUUAUCGUGACCAGUUGAGCUAAACACUGUAUUAUUAUUUUUAUAUUGACAAUUAGGUAAGCAUUUCAAGCCUUAUCCAUCCAGCAGAGAAACAUGUGUAUCUCCCUCAAUGCUUAACCAAUAUUAUGAAACGUGGGAUUGUGUGUUUUGACCGUCAACAUUUAAUUUCAUCAACAAACCAAUCUAAUCCGAUUCAAACCAAUCCAAUACAUUGAUUAUUAUCAGAUUUAAUAAAUUACCUGUUGAUGGUGUGUGAGCUUACAGAUGAAUGCACACACACGACUCUCUUCUCUUAUACUUGUCUCUCUUCUCAAAUAUUUCCAACCCCUUUAACUUCUCUGUUGGACUAGGGAAGGUAUUUAUAGGCUUACACUUGAUGUCUUGUUCCCCCCUCUGGGCCUCCCUCAGCCCAGGGGCCCUUGGCGUCGCCCGACCCGUAGUCUGCGGCCCGUCGUGCGUCCCAAUCCGGCUGAGGGUGAUUCGAUCCACGAUCCUUGUAACGGGCCGUGGUACCAACACUUGCUAUUUACUUAUAUUAAAUUUGCACGUGGAAGCAUGUGAUUACUUUAAUCACACAUUAGCAUAAACCCUAGGUAUAAAUGGUUCUUUCUGCCGACAUAUUCUGUUCUCUCGCCUCUCUGCUUACUCUCGAUUUGUACUUCAAGAACCCUAAUUUUGCUUCCAGCAUCUGGUUCAAACCUUGCUCUCUAUUGAUUUUUGUUUUUGUUCAUAUCAAUAAAACUAAACCCUAAAACCUUGGCUCUAUCAAGACCAAUCUGCAUGCGACUCAUUUUCUCCUACAUCCUUCUAUCGUUAGUUCAUCUGGAUACCAACAUAGGAUUUACGAAAUCUUCAUGGUAUCAGAUCUUCAAGUUAAAUUAGGAAUUAGAAGUGAGGAGUUCUCUAAUUAAAUAAUGAAUUGAUGUUGCCAAACAAUUGGUUUGGUGUGAAAUAGUAUCAAAGGCAAGCUAUAGAAUAGAGUGUGAUCAAAUUUUUUGUUUGAUGGGAAAAUGUUAGGGAUGUUUUAUAAAAGAAAGAAAAAUUGCUAUAACUUGAAUUUGAACACCAAAUUGACAAAUAUAGAGAGGUUUUAGCUCCAUUGUCUUUAAGUCUUUAAGACUUGCACAUGUUGCAUGAGAGUUUGAUAAAUAAAAGGAAGAUGACGAGGGGUUGAUGAUGGAAGCAAGAUUAGGAGAAAACAAUUGACAAAUAAAAAGAAUCAAACUUUAUUUAAUGCAAAAUCUUGUAUGUAAUGUCCAAAUUUGUUAAUUUCUUAUUCUGAGUUCUCAGUUCUUUUUCGGAGAGAUUAACUCAAAUGGUCACAGUCACUAUUAUGAUAUUCGAAUUUCAAUGUGUAUGUAUUUUUAUUUUUAUUUGCGUAAUUUAUCAAAAAAACAGAUAGUAAAAUUGAUAACCGUAUCUGAUCGAUUAUUCAUUUUUUAUUAGCCUAUUGGGACUACCACAAUAUAAACAGAUAAACAGAAUAUAAGAUAAAAAGAAAAAUAUCGGAUAAACAUAAAUGAAACAUAAUAUAUCACUGAUUACAUUAUAGAGAAAAUUUAAUUAAAGUACACAUUGUGACUCAAACUUUGGACUUAGGAAUUCAAAUACUACAAGAAAACAGACUUUUAGGGACGACUCUUUAAUCACCAAAAACGUUAGGGAAAUGACCGUCCCCAACCCGUCUCCGAAAGUCGCCUCGCUGACUUUCUAGAGACGGUCUUGAUUUCCGUCCCUAAAAAUCAAGAAUGGCUUAGGGAUGACACUAGUCGACCGGAAGGGGUUAGUUAGGCCGGUUGGGAGAAAUCGAAAAUUGAGAAUCGUUUAGGGAUUUGGGGGUUUUAAAUUUUUUGGGUUUAAAUGUUUAAUUUAAGGGGUUGGGGUAUUUUGCGUUUUUUUAUUUGGGUUUUAAAAACUUAUUUUUUUAGCUUUAAUUUCAACUUUAUUUUUAAAAACAUCUAGGGUUAAAUAAAAAUUAUCAAUUUAUGAACGGUUUUUUCAUAGGUCGUCUCUAAUUACACAUUUAAGAAUGGCUUUUUCAUAGACCGUACCGUCCCUAAUUAUUUUCCAAAAAAAUCAAAUUACUUAAGGACCGCUUAUUGAAACAUCGUCCCUAAUUAUCAAGGUCGGCGAUGGUUCACGAGAGAGCUGUCACCAACCAUAAAUAAAAAAUCAUAAUUAGGGAGGGCAUUUACAAGCCGUCCCCUCCGUCGUCAAUAUCGCGAAAUUUUCACAAAAUCCUUCUUCAGAUUUAGAGACGGUCAAAAUCCGUCUCUACAAGUCUGUUUUCUUAUAGUGAAAUCACCUUGAGCUUGACUUUACUGUCAAGCUUAAUUGGUUGGGCUCAUUAGUUUCUUAAAUGAACCGAGCUUGAACUUAAUCAGUUUGAAUUAAACAAGUCUGGCUCGACUCAUUUUGUUAAUAAGCAAGCUAGCAAACCUAAACUUAAGGUUUAAUAAGAUUAUUUUAACUUCAAUUCUCCAAACAAGCUAAGCUUGGCUUGAUAAGGUUAAGCUCGGACUUGCUUAAUUGAUCUAUAAAACCUAGUUGCCAGGCUUGAGCUUGGCUCAUUAGUCAUAAGCUCGAGCCUAAUCAAGGCAAGCUCAAGCCAAACCCCAGAUGCUCACCAACUCCGGAAGAAGGUGGAGGCUUCUUCUUCCUCAGCUUUUUCGGCAUUGGUCCGAUUGGGGAAGAAGGCCAAACGUCUGGAAGAUAUUUAUUCAAAAUGUGAAUGUUCAAUGUUUGUGUCAGACAUGUCAGUUUAAAAAAUGUUACUAUUCAAUCAUUUUUUGUGGUAUAAUAAUGAAAUGGAAGGGUGAGAGAUUAAGAGUGGAAAAAAUAUAUUAUUUAAGAAUUAAUGGUGCAGUUCAGACUCUGCAUGCAAUAUCUUGUAAUAUCUUAUGGAUAAUCUUAAGAUUUUUUUUAUAAUUGUCAGCGAAUUCCCUUAUAUUUACAACUAUUCAUCGCCUUAUACAUCUAAUCAAAUCAACAUUAAUUGAGCUACAGUAUAAUAUGAAAAAGUAUUGACAUUUGAUGGUGCAGUUUAGACAAAAAGUAAUGGUGGUGGCAGAGAGUUUUAGUUUUCUUUCGAGAUCUAUAAAUAUGUAAUUCAAGGUAGUGUUGUUCUUGUUCAAAGAUUAAAAUGAGUAAACGUAGGAUUUAAAAUGAAUCAUCUGGAUAUCUUGGCGUAUUUUGACGCAUUUAAUUUGGUGUAAGUGCAUUUCAGAAAUACUUCCUAUUAAAAUAUAUAUAUAUAUAUAUAGGGAAAACAUCUGGAACGGCCCGUCCGCACGGUGAUCACCGUGCGGACACCGUCCAUUCCGAUUUUCGCCAUCGUUCAUUCCGAUCACCGUUCAUUCCAGAACCGAUUCCGCGAGCAGAGGAUGGAGCAGAGGUUCCGCGAGGGAGCGAUGGGUUCCGCGAGGAUGGAGCAUGGUUUCCGAUUGCGCUAGGAUGGAGCAUGGGUUCAUUCCAGAACCGAUUCCGCGAGCAGAGGUUCCGCGAGGGAGCGAUGGGUUCCGCGAGGAUGGGUUCCGAUUGCGCGAGGAUGGAGCAUGGGUUCAUUCCAGAACCGAUUGCGCGAGCAGAGGAUGGAGCAUGGGUUCCGCGAGGGAGCGAUGGGUUCCGAUUCCGCGAGCAGAGGUUCCGCGAGCAUGAGGAUGGAGCAUGGGUUCCGCGAGGGAGCCAUGGGUUCCGAUUGCGCGAGCAGAGGUUCCGCGAGGGAGCGAGGAUGGAGCAUGGGUUCCGAUUGCGCGAGGAUGGAGCAUGGGUUCAUUCCAGAACCGAUUCCGCGAGCAUGAGGAUGGAGCAUGGGUUCCGCGAGGGAGCCAUGGGUUCCGAUUGCGCGAGCAGAGGUUCCGCGAGGGAGCGAGGAUGGAGCAUGGGUUCCGAUUGCGCGAGGAUGGAGCAUGGGUUCAUUCCAGAACCGAUUCCGCGAGCAGAGGAUGGAGCAUGGGUUCCGCGAGGGAGCGAUGGGUUCCGAUUCCGCGAGCAGAGGUUCCGCGAGCAUGAAGUCCCUUAUUUAAAGAUCGGACGGUGGAGGGCAGGGUACCGUCAGGAGCGACCGUGCGAACAGGGUCGUUCCUGAUCUGUACUGUAUAUAUAUAUAUAUAUAUGCUUCUAGAACCCUUAUUUAAAAUGAUUUUUAGGGGUAUUUUGGUAACUUUAUAUCUGAAAAGUCGGUCAUGACACUCAAUUCCACCACCAUACAUCGCCAAUGGAAAUCAAUUAUAUUGCAUAUCAACAUGCCGAAAGAGAUCUUAGUGAUCUUAUUAAAUUUUAUAAUUAUGUAAUUUAUGAACAACUUGUCUUUUUUACUCUUAUUUUAACACAAAAGAGAGGAAGAAAGGUAGAAACUGUAAACUGUUUGAAUGAAUGAUAUGACGAUUGAACAUUAAUUUAUAAUUUAAGAAAGAACUGUAUAUAUAGAGUGCUAUGGUCGGUGUUUCUUUUGAUGUUUGAACUAUAUAUAUAGAUAGAACAAGUUCAUUUAGUGAAGCAAAUCAAUCAUGUAUUUUACAAUGGAAGAUGGAUGGCUUCAACGAAUUAUGUCGAGUAUUGCGACCAUAAGUUUGGUAUGGGUUAUGCUGUCAAGGUAUUUGGAGACUUUCAAUCUCAAUGAAUACAUAUCUAUCUUAACAUCCAAACUAUUCGGUUACUUCUACCCAUAUAUCCACAUCAAGUUCCCGGAGCAAGGUGGUGACAAACUCAAGAGGAGCGAAGCAUACACUGCGAUCGAGGAAUAUCUGGGGACAAUAUGUGUUGCGAAAGGUAAGAGGUUUAAGGCUGAGAUCAGAAAAGAGAAUAAGAAUUGGGAUCUUAGUAUGGAUGACAAAGAGGAGAUCAUAGACAACUUCAAUGGUAUCAAGUUCUGGUGGGUUUCAAAUUCUCAAGCUAAACAGAACACAUCAAUUUCCUUCUACCCAUCAUCUGAUGUGAAAAGGUAUAUUCUUUUAUAUCAAUCAAUUUAUCAAUUAGUUUAUGUUUGUGUAAUUGUAUGCAUGACGACUGGAUUGUUUCGAUAAAAACAAGGUACUACCGUCUUACCUUCCAUCGCCAACACAGAGAGGUAGGUUACAUUAAGUACCUAAACCAUGUCAUAGAGACUGGGAAAAAAGAAGCUAUUAAGAAAAGACAAAGGAAACUGUAUACAAACAAUCCAGAAGAACGUGGAUAUCGAGAGAAGUUAUGGAUCCAUGUUCCCUUUGAACACCCAUCAACUUUUGAGACUCUAGCCAUGGAUCCCAAUCAGAAGCGAGAAAUCAUAGACGAUCUCGUCAUGUUCAGUAGAAAUAAAGACUAUUACAAGCGAAUUGGCAAGGCUUGGAAAAGAGGGUACCUUCUGUAUGGCCCUCCUGGCACUGGAAAAUCUUCUAUGAUAGCUGCGAUGGCCAAUUUUCUUGACUAUAGCAUCUACGAUCUGGAACUCACUGCAGUGAAGAACAAUAGCAUGCUUAGAAAGCUUCUUAUCGCUACUGAGGGUAAGUCAAUUAUUGUUAUUGAAGAUAUCGACUGCUCUCUAGAUGUAACUGAGAAAAGGAAGAAAGCAAAGAAGAAGAAGAGUAAAGAAGAAGAAGAAAAGGACGAAAUAAAAGGGAAAAAGAAGGAUGAUAACGAUAGCAAGGUGACGUUGUCAGGACUUUUGAACUUCAUCGACGGAUUGUGGUCUGCUUGUGGUGGUGAGCGCUUGAUCAUUUUUACUACUAACCAUGUGAAGAAGCUCGACCCUGCUUUGAUAAGGAGAGGGAGGAUGGAUAAGCAUAUCGAGCUUUCCUACUGUGGUUUUGAAGCUUUCAAGGUAGCUUUUUCCCAAACCUUUGUUGUUUGGAGUUUAAUAUAUCUUAUGAAUUUUGUGUCCUCACAUUCUUAACAGGUCCUUGCUUAUAACUAUCUCGACAUCAAGCAACAUCCUUUGUUCGCUGAGGUAGAGAAUCUGAUGGCAGAGGUAAAGAUUACGCCUGCUGAUGUAGCUGAGAAUUUAAUUCCAAAACAUCGAUUAGGGGAAGAAGAGGAUGCCACAAUUUGUCUUGAGAAUCUUAUCCAAACCCUCGUCGAGUUCAAGGCUAAUCCGAUCCUUGAAGAUCUUGAAUCAGAUGAUGAUGAUGAUGAGAAAAGAGAAAAAGAAACAAUUAAGAAGGAAGAUGAAGAUAAAGAAGAAGAAAAUUAAGUAUAGAUAAAUGUUUGAGAUCAAUGCUUAAAUAAUAAUAAAAGCAAGACAAAAUAGUUAUUGAUAUAUAUAUAUAGGGUAAAUAUCUGGGGCACCCUAUAUAUACACACACACACUUGAGAUCAAUGCUUCAAUAAUAAUAAAAGUCAAUAUAUUUUUUAUAAGGGAGAGUACGGUAGAAAUACCUACCCUUGGAUGAUACACCGACCAUAGCCACAUAAUAUAUCACUAGCUAAAUCAAAGUGAAGUUUUAAAAAAAAGUACAUGUGAAAGGAAGUUCAAUGCAAACUAAACUUUAUCAUUAACCAACUGAAUGUAAUCAAGAAUACAAGUUAUAUAGAACCAAAUAAAAACUGACUCUAGUAUAACUGUCAAUUAACAAACACAACUAAUAUUAGAGAGUAUUAUAAAUUUGUAGGAAUUCGCUUUUAUCUGUGUUGAAUGUUUUUGACGUGUUUGCUACAAGUACAUGACUAAGAGUGAACAUAUUGAAGAGUGAAGUAUUCCUUUCCUAUGGGACCCCCAAGGGUUUGCAACUGACAGGGGUACUGAGAAUGCCGAUAGAACAAUUCCCCACGAGAUACCUUGGACUCCUAUUGAGCCAAACGAUCCUCAGACCGAGGGAUUGUCGUUGAUUGGUAGAGAUGUCCACUUCCAUGGUGGCAAGAUGGGAGGCUUGCUCUGUCACAUGUAGGGAGACUACAAUUAUUUCAUUAGGGCAUAACCAGUAAUCUUAUGUUUUGGUGUUUGGCCUGCAGAUUACCGAGUGAGGUGCUGGGAUCGUUGAAGACGCUGGCAUAUAGAUUCUUAUGGGACGGGAAGAAGGAGGUUAGUUUUGACCAUAUGGUUUUAUUGAAGGUAUAGAGGGGAUUGGGUUCAGACGAUUCAAGGACACAAUUACAGCUUCAGUAAUGAAGAGAGCGUGGAGGAUCUGGAAUGCAGAGGAUUUUAUUUGGGUCAGAUGGAUGCGUAAGAGGUAUGCCAGAGGAAAGGAAUUUACAGACAUCCAGAGACGCAAUAGAAUUCACUCACCGGCGUGGCUAGAGAUUGUGGACAAAAGGCAAAAGAUAGGCAGGGGCAUGACGUACGGUGAGGAUUAUAUAUGUGCAUGGACAGGGAGCGGCACAUGCUUCACAUUUCAGAAUGCAUGGAAUACGAUUAAAGAGAGGAGACCAAAAGCAGACAUAGAAGUAGGGAUAUGGGCAUCGGGCAUCAACAAGUAUACUAUGACGAUGUGGAGGGCCAGUCUUUGAAAGAUCACGACAUAGGAAAAGCUGAUUGGGUGGGAGUUCCCUCAACCUAAGGAGUGUUGGUUGUGCACGAAAAAGUUGAAGAGCUUCGACCAUAUAUAUACACUUCAGAUGCAGCUAUUCUAGAGAGGUAUGGUGGCAUAUACGUAGACAUACGAGGACUUUUUGAUAUCGACAGAUGUUGGGAUCGAAUCAUAUAUGGACUGAGAAGUCACGAGAACACGACAGUUACCUGCAUGGGGCAUGUGUUGGCCUAUACUUGGGUCGACCACAUGAGAAAAAUGGGGUUAACGUACGUAACCGGAGGAAACACGAGAGAAGAUCUUUACUGACAUAAAAUCUGUCACAACGUAUAGUUGUGGAUGCACGAAUUGUUUAUGAUAGAUCUAAAUUUAAGUUUAGAAACUCCACUAUGUAGAACUCGUUAUUUGUUGUAUAGGAUAAAGGGGUUACCCAGAAUAACUCCCAACGGAUGUUACUAUUCAAUCAUUUUUUGUGGUAUAAUAAUAAAAUGGAAGGGUGGGAAUGAAAAAAUUAUAUUAUUUAAGAAUUAUUUUUGGGUGGCAAAUAUUUACAAAUUUAGAGGAGAAUUAUAAUUUUAUCAUAUCUAACAAAGAUUAAUCAUUUUUAAAGUCAGAAUCUAACAUCAACGAUGGAAAUUCCGACACAGAUAUUAAAAAUAUAGCUGCUUCGGAAUUUCCGACGUGAAUAUUAAAAUAGGACGCAUUUCAGGUGCGUUGCUGUUCAGUGCGCUAUUCAUAUCUUGUGUUAAUUUUUUUUAAUAAGAACCGUUUGUACUAAACGGUUAGGCUAUCUACUAUAAUAUAAUAUUUCAAAAUAACUAUUUAUAUUCUCGGUGCAGUUCAGAUUAUGCAUGCAAUAUUUUGUAAUAUCCAAUGGAUAAUCCUAAAAAUCCCUUAUAUUUACAAUACAUCUAAUCAGAUCAACAUUAAUUGAGCUAUAAUAUGAUAUGAAAAAGUAUUGACAUUUGAUGGUGCAUUUCAGACAAAAAGUAAUUUGUACGACAAUGUUAUAAUGGUGGUGGCAGAGAGUUUUAGUUUUCUUUCGAGAUAUGUGCAUGUAUAGUUUAAGGUGUUGUUGUUCAAAGAUUAAAAUUAAUAAACGUAAGAUUUAAAAUAAAUGAUUUGGAUGUCUUGACGUAUUUAAUUUGGCGAGCGUGCAUCAGAAAUGCUUCCUAUUAAAAUAUAACGGCUUCUAGAACCCUUAUUUAAAAUGAUUUUUAGGGGCAUUUUAGUAACUUCACACCUAAAAAGUUGGUCACCUUCUAGUGACAUGGAAAAGUCACCUUCGAGUUGUUUUCGAGUCAAACGAGUUUCGAUCAUCUUGACUGCGUUUGUGACAAUAAUGCCAAUAGAUUCAAAGAAUUUUUUUACAAAAAGAUUGAAGAUUUGUGGGAAAUCAAUUAUAUUGCAUAUCAGUAUGACGAAAUAGAUCUUCAUGAUCUUAUUAAAUUUUAUAAUUAUGUAAUUUAUGAACAACUUGUCUUUUUUUACUCUUAUUUUAACGCAAAAGAGAGGAAGAAAGGUAGAAACUGUAAACUGUUUGAAUGAAUGAUAUGACGAUUGAACAUUAAUUUAUAAUUUAAGAAAGAACUGUAUAUAUAGAGUGCUAUGGUCGGUGUUUCUUUUGAUGUUUGAACUAUAUAUAUAGAUAGAACAAGUUCAUUUAGUGAAGCAAAUCAAUCAUGUAUUUUACAAUGGAAGAUGGAUGGCUUCAACGAAUUAUGUCGAGUAUUGCGACCAUAAGUUUGGUAUGGGUUAUGCUGUCAAGGUAUUUGGAGACUUUCAAUCUCAAUGAAUACAUAUCUAUCUUAACAUCCAAACUGUUCGGUUACUUCUACCCAUACAUCAACAUCAAGUUCCCGGAGCAAGGUGGUGACAAACUCAAGAGGAGCGAAGCAUACACUGCGAUCGAGGAAUAUCUGGGGACAAUAUGUGUUGCGAAAGGUAAGAGGUUUAAGGCUGAGAUCAGAAAAGAGAAUAAGAAUUGGUAUCUUAGUAUGGAUGACAAAGAGGAGAUCAUAGACAACUUCAAUGGUAUCAAGUUCUGGUGGGGGUCAAAUUCUCAAGCUAAAACGAACACAUCAAUCUCCUUCUACCCAUCAUCUGAUGUGAAAAGGUAUAUUCUUUCAUAUCAAUCAAUUUAUCAAUUAGUUUAUGUUUGUGUAAUUGUAUGCAUGAUGACCGGAUUGUUUCAAUAAAAACAAGGCACUACCGUCUUACCUUCCAUCGUCAACACAAAGAGGUAGGUUACAUUAAGUACCUAAACCAUGUCAUAGAGACUGGGAAAAAAGAAGCUAUUAAGAAAAGACAAAGGAAACUGUAUACAAACAAUCCAGAAGAACGUGGAUAUCGAGAGAAGUUAUGGAUCCAUGUUCCCUUUGAACACCCAUCAACUUUUGAGACUCUAGCCAUGGAUCCCAAUCAGAAGCGAGAAAUCAUAGACGAUCUCGUCAUGUUCAGUAGAAAUAAAGACUAUUACAAGCGAAUUGGCAAGGCUUGGAAAAGAGGGUACCUUCUGUAUGGCCCUCCUGGCACUGGAAAAUCUUCUAUGAUAGCUGCGAUGGCCAAUUUUCUUGACUAUAGCAUCUACGAUCUGGAACUCACUGCAGUGAAGAACAAUAGCAUGCUUAGAAAGCUUCUUAUCGCUACUGAGGGUAAGUCAAUUAUUGUUAUUGAAGAUAUCGACUGCUCUCUAGAUGUAACUGAGAAAAGGAAGAAAGCAAAGAAGAAGAAGAGUAAAGAAGAAGAAGAAAAGGACGAAAUAAAAGGGAAAAAGAAGGAUGAUAACGAUAGCAAGGUAACGUUGUCAGGACUUUUGAACUUCAUCGACGGCUUGUGGUCUGCUUGUGGUGGUGAGCGCUUGAUCAUUUUUACAACUAACCAUGUGAAGAAGCUCGACCCUGCUUUGAUAAGGAGAGGGAGGAUGGAUAAGCAUAUCGAGCUUUCCUACUGUGGUUUUGAAGCUUUCAAGGUAGUUUUUUCCAAACCUUUGUUGUUUGGAGUUUGAUAUAUCUUAUGAAUUUUGUGUCCUCACAUUCUUAACAGGUCCUUGCUUAUAACUAUCUUGACAUCAAGCAACAUCCUUUGUUCGUCGAGGUAGAGAAUCUGAUGGUAGAGGUAAAGAUCACGCCUGCUGAUGUAGCUGAGAAUUUAAUUCCAAAACAUCGACUAGGGGAAGAAGAGGAUGCCACAAUUUGUCUUGAGAAUCUUAUUCAAACCCUCGUCGAAUUCAAGGCUAAUCCCAUCCUUGAAGAUCUUGAAUCAGAUGAUGAUGAUGAUAAAAGAGAAGAAGAAGAAACAAUUAAGAAGGAAGAUGAAGAUAAAGAUGAAGAAGAAGAAGAAAAUUAAGUAUAGAUGUGAUGAUGAAUAGAUGAAUUAUCGUAGAUUUGUAGCUUGAGAUCAAUGCUUAAAUAAUAAUAAAAGUCAAUAUUAUUUUAUAUAAGGGAGAGUAAAGAUAGAAAUACCUACUCCUGAGUUAUAUACUCGGAAUCAUAUAAUAUAUCACUAGUUAAAUCAAAGUGAAGUUUAAAAAAAAAACAUACAUGUGAAAGGUAGUUCAAUGCAAACUAAACUUUAUCAUCAACCAAUUGAAGGUAAUCAAAAGUACAAGUUCUAAGAGAGACUUGAAUCCUAGACCCUUAGAAACCUCAUUAGUUACUGUAACCAGUUGAACUAAUAAAGAUGUAAAAAUUCAAUAUUAUUUAUUUGGGAAUCAUUUUAAAUCUAAUAACUUAAUAUUAAUUUCGGAAAUAUUUAAGGUUUAAACAAAAAUCAUGUAAGAAUUCUAGCCAAUAAUUUUUUUUGAUAAGGUAUUAAAAUGGAGGCGGGUGUGCACUGUUGGGAUGGCACCAUGAGCUGGUUGGAGAAGAUUCCGGCAGAAUGAGCUUGCCGGAGUGCCAAAGAAGAAGAGAGUUAACUUAACUAACUUGAGGUAACCGAUCGACCACCUUUUCGGUGGACGACCAAGACUCUGUUCUAUUGGUCCGACUAACCCAAAGUCUGGUCUAUCCCAUAAACAUGGUAUAAUUCCCAAUUGAUCUUUUCUUCAUCUAGGCCCGGCUACGACCAGGCCUUCUUGCGAUUUUUGAUAUUUCUCAAACUUUUGGGCCUCAGGCUUACUUAUGGAUGUUUGAUGUCCUAUUUAAGUGUUGUACUCCUAGUACAAGAUCUGGUAUCACCAAUGUGAAAAAUACUGUUUUCCAAAGAGAAAUGCAAGAAAAGUACAUAUUGCUGAACCACCUAGUUAUUUGAGCAAACUAUGUCAGAAAACUGAAUACGAACAUAUAUGGCCUGAAACAAACACCCAAAUCAUGAUAUUCUUGACCAAGUUUUUAAUUUUAAACAACUUUAUAUAUAAAUUAGAGUACUUUUGACACUUCUUUGUUUGUUUAUAAUGAAGAUAGAAUAUUGAUCAGGGUUAUAGUAUAUAUAUGUUGAUGUCAUCAUAGCUAUGAUGAAACUGAAAUUUAAUUUUUUCAACAAGGUUUUAUUAAUAUUAAAAAUAACUCUUUAACUUCAUCUUCGUUUUUAGUUUUUUCUUCUGUUUUCACAACAUUUGAGUCUACAUCUUCAACGAUGGAAUUCGCCUUUUUGUAGAGAAGAGCUUGAAUGAGGUUCUCAAGACAUUUUGUUGUAUCCAAAUCGUGGUCUCCAAUUUGACCUUUGGAAAGUAACUUCUCAGCAACAUCAGCAGGUGUGAUCUUUACCUCCUCCAUUAAAUUCUCAAUCUUUGAAAACAAUUUGUGUUCUUUGAUGUGAAGAUAGUUUUUGGCUAAUAUCUGACAUAAUGGUUAAUGAUUACUACUGCCGGUUGCUCAACCAUUCAAUGAACGGACUGGAUUCUUUGGCCUAAUAGACGGACUGGAUGAAGGAUGGUUCCGGCUAGAAAGAAAAUAACCAUUAGGAUAGAACACUCAAUAGUUAUUGUGCGCGCAUUAAAAAAAAAUUGAGUCGACUUGAUGAAUUGGUCAAGAAUUAUUAAUCUGAUUUUAAUAGACUUAUAAGUUGACAUAUUCAUGAAGAAAUAAGAUGUUCAAUUUGUAAAUUUGAAGAUAUCGAUAAUGAAAGAAAAAUAUGAUAAAAUUAUCUUAAAUAAUUUAGUAAAAUACAAUUGUAUAGCUAUCAAUUUGGACGCCAAGAAGAAGAUGGUUGAAGAUAGGAAGAUAAUUUCUUCUUUUUAAAGAGACAUUGAUAAUUUGGUACAUUUGGAAUGGGCGAACUUGUCGAAGAUGAUUCAAAUGAAUGUUCGGCGAAAGGCAUCACUGGAAUAGACUCAGGUACAGUUUCUGUAGAGGUAGUAUUAAGAUACAGAGGACGAAUAGAGGAAUUUGCAGCACUGAUGUCGAUUCCAACCGCCAACAUUGCUCUUUCCAUCUUAUGUAUUCUUUCCCAAAGCGCCGCCUUCUCAAUAUGCAAUAUGAUAAAAAAAGAUUAACAAAAAUGAACUAAAAUAAUAUGAAUUGAUAAAUACUAAUUAAUGAUUACAAUAUCCUCAUCGCGUCUUCGAUCUUCGUCAGUCUGGAUAGAUUUCCCUUUGUUUUGUCUGUUCAAAUCUACCAUGUCAGGUGUGUUGCGACGACUGACAGUUUCCAAAUGUGACAUAUUGAUCAUAUCCUACAGAAGCAGCAAUUCCGGCAUAAUCAUAAUUAAACAGUAAAAAUUAUACUUAAUUACAAUUGCUUUUUUUUUAAUUAUACUUACAAUUUUAUUAUUUGUAGGAUAAUCUACCUUCAACUUCUUCUUUCUAGGCUCAACCAGUGUCUAAUUCAAUUUGAUUUUUUUUAAUAUGAUGAAUAUAUAAGUUAAAUAUUAUUUUGAAAAUCCUGAUAUUAAUUUACACCAACCUCUUCGCGGUCAUGUUUCGAAAAUCCCUUUGAGCUCAAGUCAUAAGGCGUUUGUUCUUCUUGGCUAUUUUCGUCGAUUUCAGAAAUGACCUACAUUCAAUUUAAUGGUGGUUGUUGAACAAAGAUUUAUUAAAUAUAAAUGAAAAUGAAAUUUUAUAGAACCUUCAUUUUAUCUAAUCUUCUUUCUCUCAACUUAUUGCAAAAUUGAUCUUUCAUCACUUGAUCAGGAAGAAUCUUUAUAACUUCAUUGAUCGAAAGCCCUGGAAAGUCGUAUUUUCGUAUAAGCCUAUUGUAGCUAAUUCUCCAGAGUUGGUUCAGCGACUUGUUGAUGAAACGAUGUACUUCAUCAGUCUGGCUUAAAUUAAAUUCUCUCUGUAAAUAACAUAUAUCAUAUAAAUUGUGUAAGCUAAACAGUAUAUAUUAUAAGAGAAUGCAAUGUAAUUUCAGUACUGAUACCAUGAGGGAUUGAAUGACAUCUUCCAAGCCAGUUUGGUUUUCCCAAGGAAUGUCCAUCGGAAGCAACUUGUUAUCAGAUGCAGUAAGACUUAGUCUCUUGUGCAAUAAGUCGCAAAUCUCGUCGCCCACUUGUGUUGUGUCAUCCAACAACAUUCUAAACAUACUAUUGAACUUCGGAUGGCGAUGAAGAAGGUUCUUUUUGUGAUUUUGAUCUUUCUUAUUCUCUAGGUCAGAUGAUGGAUCAGUUGAAGAGUUGUGCCCUAAUUAAUUUAAACACAAUUUAGUACUCUUUCAAAAAAAUACAUUAAUCAUAUAUCUUAAUUACAAUAAAAAUGAUUGAAACGCAUUGUCGGAUGUUCCGCCAAUAUAAACCGAGACAAAAUGAUUGCUAAUUUUGGGUCUCUUUUUAUUGGCAGUAGUCAUAUAAAAUUGGAUGAAACACUAUAAAAUAAGAGCAACAAUUAUCGAAAUUUUAGCCAGAUGUUAAUGACAUUAAUUAAACUAGUGAAUAUUGCUAAUUCGAAUUAGAUGCAUGUUUCGAUCCGCCAAAAAAACACAUCUUAUAUUAUGUUUCAAUAUAUAGAGUAAGAAUCACAAGAAACUCAGACAGUGUACCUUUUUGGAAAAUAUUUGCAGAUGUAGGGAAUAUUGGUGCACAUUCCUGACAUGACCAAAGAAUUUCUUCAUUUGUGUUUGGAAAAACAAACAUGCAAUACCUGAAAUCCAAUAUAUAACGUUAUGAAAACACCAGACCUUGUAUGUAGAUAUACAAAGUCUGAGGAACUUACGAAUGUUCCGCUUUGAUUUUACAUGUUCUGCAAAAAACUAGAUGAUUGGGAUUUUCAGAGACACCACACUUUUGGCAAACAGUAUUCUGCAUUUCGAAUGAAGAAGAAGAGGAAGCAGUUGGAGAAUAGUAUGAAGAAGUAAGCUAAAGUAGAUUGAAAAUAUGGGUGGGGCAGAUUUAAAUAAAGGAUUCCAUUGGGAAAAAACAAAGAAUAUAUCUGAAUCAUAAUAAUUUGAGAUUGUAAUAUUAAUAAGAUAGAUUUGAUCUAUCUUAAAUAUUUAUAUUUUAGAUUUCUAAUUGCAUGGGCAGGUCUUGUCUUUUAAAUUUUCUUUUUUCUAUUUUAAUUUCCUCCAUUUAAGUCUUGUUUAAACAUUAAAUUAAAUCUGAUAUUAAUUAUAAUUCAUCAUUAAGUAUGAAUGUAUGAUAUUGAUUAGGAAAAAUCCUGAUUAUAUAAAUAACUCCAAAUCCAAAAUUUUCUAACAUUUUAUCAAUGUUGCCCAUCGUAACAGUGUAACACUAUGACAAUUUCCAUUCAUAAUCAAGGCACCCACAAGCUUAUGGAAGGUCACAGUUAUGUCAAUAACCUUAAUUAAUAUCUAAUGCAUGGAUAUGAUAAAUAACGAAAUUCAGUGCUCCUUCAUUUGAGAUGAAUUGUGGGAUCGACUCAAAUUUGGAAGAAGAUGAGGGAGAUGCAGAUAAUAAACACAAUAGGCAUUGUUUUGGACUAUGAUCGAUUCACUACAAGAUUCAUGCGUUUCAGCGACGAUCAAAAAUCGUCACUAAAUUGAUUUCAGCUUCGCUGUAGGUCGCCUCGCUAAAAAAUUAGCGAUGAUCGAUGUCGGUCAUCGACGCUAAUUAUCAGCGACGAUGUGUCAUCGUUGCUGUCGCUGAUAUAAUCCCACGCGCGGGCUAUUUUUUGGCGCCAAAAAAUAACAUCAUCGCUAAUAUUUGAAAAACAUCAUCGCUAAAUCGUCGCUCUCAUUAAAUUUUUAUAUUCCCUUUCUUAACAUAUCAUCGUUUAAUCGUUGCUAAAUCGUCGCUUUUGUUAAAAUUUAAUUUUCCCUGUUUCAACUAAUCAUCGCUAAAAUAGAAUACAAUAAAAAAAAUGUUUAAUUUAUAUAGGUGCUCAUUUAGAGCCUUACACAUCUCAAUUCAUACCUGCAAAUACAAUUCAAUUCAUAUACAUUCAAUCACAUACAUUCAAUCACACAAAUUCAAUCACACAUAUUGAAUUACAAAUAUUCAAUGAUAAAUAUUCAAUUACACACAUAUACUCUAAAUCAAAUUCGAUUAACCAAAAAAGGAAUAGACAUUGAUUUUUUGUAAUCACACACAUUGAUGUUAAGUGUUUUAUAAUUUUUUUUGUUGAACAAUAUUUGAAAUAUCUAAAGUCUUACCUUUUGGCCGAGGUGUCGAAUUCAAAGUAGUAUCUUCUUCUCAAUAAUUUCUCGAUAACGGAAUAAGUUGGUUCAAGUCAGACGAAGCAGGAAUAACAAGAACAUUACUCGAUGAUGGACGAUUGGGGUCGUUGCUUGUAGACUUAGCCUGAAAAUAAAUGAAAAUAUUCACAAAUUAAUAAAUUGAAAAACUAAUUUCAAAAUAAUUAUUAAACUCACAUGUAUAUUGUCAAAUAACCGUUGUUCCAUCAUUUUAAAACGUUUUUCGUGUUCUAUUUCGAACGCUUCCAUUCGUUUUUCAACGGCUUUGAAAACUGUCAAUUUAAAUUCUUCAGUGUUGUACUUCUCAGUUUUUUCAUUGCUCAUUUUCUUUCUCUUUUUAUUUAAUAACAUCGAGUCAUUCCCAACUCUAAAUCCCAGAAUGCGGCCAUUUUUCUUUCCCUUUGAUGCUUUUAGCCAAUGUCCAAUAUGAUCGUUUUUAAAUAGAGGCUUACUAUGAAAUGUAGUUGAACCUUGAGACGAUAAGUUUUCGUCUUCGACUCUUCGCUAUCUUCAUCAGAAUCAGAAUCACUAUUUUCAUUACGUACUCUUUUCCUUGGUUCUACAUGUCUGUCCCAAGUAGUGUAAUCACUCAUAAAACCGAACUUGUAAAGAUGAACUGUCAUUAUAUUUCUAACUUCCUUAUUUAAACAACAACUACUACAAGGGCAUUUAAUUUUUCCAUCUUCACGAGUCAUAACUAACUCUGAGAAUGCAAAGUUUAGAAAUCGCUCAACACCAUUGAGAAAUGAAUCGGUAAUUUGAUUUUUCUCAUCUAGUCGGUUGUGCAUCCAAUUUUGAUCAUUGUCGGUCAUUUUAUAAAAUAAUUGAAACAUGCAAAAAUGAGUUGCAUGUCCGUAUAAUCUAAGAUACUAAUUCAGAGUAUCUAUAUAUCAUGAAAAAUAAAAAAAUAAAUCAUAAUAAGAAAGGCUCGGCUCGGCCUGCCGACAGGAUUUUUCUAAGGUUCUAUUUUUUUCAUGAAAUUAAAAGCCAUCUACUUGUAAACAAUGGAAAUAAGAUAGUAUUAUCUCAUUCAUGGAGAUACAUAAGAGAUUUUUUUUUAAUUUAGAAAGAAAGAAAAAAGAAAUUUAUUACAUGGGUUGCAUUUUCUUUAUUACAUGGGUUGCAUUUUUAAAAGAUUUUCAUGGGGAUUUAUGGAUUGCAUUUUAUUUAUUACAUUCACAUCAAAUUUAUUUGGAUUUUUAAAAAAGAAGGAAAAAUACUAGAUGAAGGAGAUGCUAGAUAUCCAUUAUUGUGAAUUUAGAAGUCGGGGUGAAUUUUCAUUUGGGCAUAAGACAACAAUAUCCUUUAUUAUGCCAAAUACAAUCUGUUCACAUAUUGAUUGCAAUACUUCAUCUUUACCAACAACUACAAGCUCUAUUGAUGUUUCCUGAAAGUAAUGUCCCAAGAUUCAACAACAACAAAAGUAGCCAAAAAUUACGAAAAUUUAUCACUGCUCCUUGAUUUUAAGUUUUUCUCCUAUCCCGUUAUGACGAGUCCCCCUUAUACAUACCAAUGUUUCAUCCCGAACACGUAUGCACAAGAACAAAAUAUAUCAAAUGAAAUCUCAGUUCAGAUUUCACACUUGGCAAACUCUGACUAAAAAUAAAUACAAAAUCGCAUCCAAGCUUGUAAUAAUGUAAUCGUAUUAAUUGUAAAGUAAAGAUUCUGCUAUUUACCUUUCCGAGUACUAUGUCAACUGAUGGAGAGCAGAACCGACCACAGACAGCUUGGAGAACAACGGUGCUCCGGACAAUAUACUUAGCCAAGUAAUGGAUACUCUCCUUUUGAAAGUCCGACGGUAGAUGAGAAGAUGCAGGCCGGCGGAGAUGAAGAGAUCGAUGAAGAACUCGACGGUGCCAGAGAUGUAGAGAAAUCGUCCAGAGAAAUUUGGUGUUUUGGAAAGAUUUUGGGAGAAAUCGUGGGUUUUGAGUUUGGAGUAGAAAUUUUUAGGGAUUUAGAGGUUUUGGUAUUUUAGGAAUUUUAUGUUUUAUAAUUAAACUUAAUUUUAUAAAGGGAAUUUUAUAUAAAUAGAUUAUUCUUUUAAAAUUUUAUAAAUUGGUCCUCAUUAUUAACGACAAUAAAAUUUAAAUCGUCGCCAAUUAUUAGAUCUAGCGACGAUUAUCAAAAUAUUGUCACUAUUUAUACAAAAAAAAAGAUAAUUAGUGAUGAUAUAUUCAUAUCGUCGCUGAUAUCGCGUGUUUUCUUCAAAAUCCUUCUUAAAAUUUAACGACGAUCUAACCCUAACCCUAACCCUAAAUCUAAAAUCGUCGCUGAAAAUCUCUUUUGUUGUAGUGAUUGAUCAUUAUGCCUUUUAUCUAUUACUAUUUAUAUAAAUUAGCGACGACUUAGGGAUGGCAAGUUGAAACAAAAACUAAUUAAAAAAAUGAUUAGGGACGACAAAUUGAGACAGAAACUAAUUAAAAAAUUAUUGGGGACGGCUUAGGGACGAAAAUUUAGAAAUUUAAGGACGACUUAUGGACGGAAAUAAUAAUCCGGGAACCAAAUUUUUGGCAGAGAAAAAUAAAUAGGGACGUUUAAGGACGUGAGGUAAAAAUAUUUAGAGAUGGAUUAGGAACGGAAAUGAAAAUUUGGGCGUCAAAAUAUUGGCACGGAAAAAUAAUUAGAGACGGCUUAGCCUUAUAAACUCCCAUCUAACCCUAACCCCUAAUUAGGGACAGCCAACGUCGUCCCUAAUUUUUUGGAACGGAAAUCAAGACAGUCUUUAGAAAGUCAGUGAGAUGACUUUUAGGGAUGGAGUGAGGACGACCAUUUCCCAUCCCUAAUUAGCAUUAGGGACAUAUUCUGGCCGUCCCGAAAAGUCAUUUUUCUUGUAGUGAGAAUAAUGAGUGGGUUGGUAAUUAUAUCAGGAGUGAAAUAUAUGAAAUCAUAUCAGGGAUUUAUAACUAAUUGAUUCCCUUCUAGAAUGUUUUAGAAGGGUUAGUUAUAAUCCAAUACCUUCACUCAAAGUAGUGUGAGAUAGCACACACCUAGUUUGUCUCUGAUUUCCAGAUAUCUGGAUGACGAUAGAGGUUUUGUAAACGCAUCGGCCAAUUGUUCCUUCGUGGAGAUGUGAUGUACUUGUAGUGACCCUUUGCUGAUUGGUUCUCGUACGAACUUGAAAUUUAUAGCCAUGUGCUUUAAUUCUGGAGUGAAAUAUGGGAUUAUGAGCCAAGUAUUUUGCUCCUAAAUUGUCAGUCCAUAUAUAUAUAUGGAUCCUUUUGAUAUAUAAAACCAAUUUCGCGUAGUAAAUUUUGUACCCAUAUAAGUUCUGCUUCUACAUAUGCCAGAAUAUGAAAUUCUGCCUCUGUUGAAGACCUGACAAUUAAUGGUGUCUGGUUUCUUGGUUGACCAAGAUAUGAGAUUGUUGCCAAAGAAAAGAGAGAAAUCACCUGUGUUUCUUCUAUCAUCGAUGCAAUCGGCCCAGUCCGCAUCUGAGUAUGCCUCAAGUGUAAAUACUUUACUUGGUGAAAAUACUAAUCCACACCCAACUAUUCCAUGUAGACAUCUCAAUACCCUUUUUACAACUGCCCAGUGUCGACUGGUGGUGAGCUGUUGUAAGAACUGACACAACUUGUUUACAACGAAUGCUAUAUCUGGUCUAGUAUGCACUAGAUAUAACAGUGCACCUAUCGAUAUAGUAAUUUAUCAUGAAAUGGUUCUCCUUAUAUGGCACUUAUUUUGAUGUUGGCAUCAUCGGAGUUUGUGCACUUUUGGAUUUCUGCAUGUUUGUAUGAUCUAGAAAAUCAGAUAUAUAUCGUUGUUGUGAUAACAGAAAUCUUCCAGAUUUUAUCAUUGUUAGUUCCAUCCCGAGAAAGAAUUUAAGUACUCCCAUGUCUUUUAAUCUAAAUUUUGAGGACAGUGUAGUAAUAAGCCUUUGUACCUCUGUUUCAGAGGAUCCUGUGAUGAUUAUAUCAUCGACAUAUACUAGCAAGAAAAUAGAGUGACCAUUUCUUUGAUAGAAAAAGAGUGACGAGUCUGUGCUCGUGGUGUGGAAACUGCUGGUUGUCAAAAAACUGCUGAGCUUCUCGUACCAAGCUCUUGGAGACCGAUCGACGUAGCCCAUAUAGUGAUUUAUUUAGUCGGCAUACCUUUUCAGAAUAUUGUUGGUUAAUACACCCUGGAGCUUGUUCCAUAAACACUGCUUCCUUAAGAUCUUCGUUUAAGAAGGCAUUAUCCACAUCGAGUUGAUGUAGCUCCCAUCCUUUUGAAAUUGCUAGCGUGGUGAAGAUUCUGAUAGUCGAAAACGUCACCAGUGGACUGUAUGUUUUAUCGAAGUUUACCUCCUCAAUUUGAGAGAACCCUCGGGCCACUAGUUGUGUCUUCUUUCUUUCAACAAAUCCAUCUGACUUUUUCUUUAUCUUGUAUAGCCAUUUGCAUGACACAAUAUUCGUGUUUACAGGUGGAUCUACAAGUGUCCAUGUAUUUUUAUGGGAAAGAGCUCGAACUUCAAGUUCCAUUGCUUGAACCCAAUUAGAAGACGUUAAUGCUUGUUUGAACGUCUUGGGUUCAAUCAUAUCAUCUAAUUUUGUCAGUUCGAGGCCAACUAGUAUCAUGUAGUCAAUUGUUGGUACGUUGCGCCGUAGAUACCCAGAUGGAAAUAAUAGAGGUGCAACCGUUGGUGGAAUAGGUUGAUUUGGACAUUAUUUGAGAGGUGGGACUAAUGGGAUUAAUAUUGGAUGAUUGUGGUGAGGCUUAGGAAGAUGGUGUUAUGGAUGAUGGUGGAUGAUAUGAGUGAGGGUGUUUGAUUGAUUAUGGAUAAAAAAAUUUGGUUUUAUUCCGAGUCCGGUGGAUCAUGAUUCUGAGUAUGACCUACAUGUGGUACAGGUUGUCUCGCAGUUUGUACCUGUAUUUUUACAAAUGAAAAAGACUCUUUCUAGAAAAGAACAACGACGUGCGAUGUAUUAGCGAUUAGACUGUAUGUUUAGACAAAUAUAACCCAUAUGAAACAUAUUAUAUCUUAAAAAUACACAUGAUACGGAUUGGAACGAACCGCCAGUGGAGGCAUCGUACCAAGUAGAUCCCGCAAGAUCCUAACCAAGGCCCGUGGGUGGGUUUGAGAUGGAUAAAAGAAUCGCCAUUAUCGGGAAUAUGUAUGCCAUACUUUCAUUGUAGUUGCCAUUAAUUUCUUUUGUUUGUAAAAUGUAAGUAUAUAAACAGCCAGUUUAAUUUAUAUUUAUUAUCACCCAAAAAAAUGAUACAUCACGUGACAGUGAACCCCGCUGAACCUGACCCCGUAUAAAGGCACGUCCGAAGGCUACAAUUGAUACGGCUCAUAGUACAAACAAAGUCAACCAACACACCCUAAAACUCGCAUGUCUAGCCUCAUGUUUCCACACCCCCUCCCUUUCAUCCUGGUUUCAGAAACCUUUCAAAAAGGUUGGGACAUAUUUCUGCCCGUCAUAUGUUCGUGUUCACCCAGGAGCCCAACACUUUCACACAACCAUAGUUCGUUGAAGGCAUCCUCCUUCCCCUCCUCCCCGAAAGAAGGUAAGGGUCGGAUUCUCCAACAAUCAACUAAGUCAAUUAGUCAGACGUGGGGCAAACGUAGGGUAGCCACCGUCACCCGUCCACCCCAACUGAGAUCCGUUCUUAAGGAACGAACCCCGACCAGACUCCUCGGCCCCUCUUCAGGUAUCUCUCUCCAUACCUAAUUCGGGAUCUGCACCCACUACUAAGUAACAUCUAUUGGGAGGUUAUUCUGGGUACCACCUCUAUCUCAUACAACAAAUAACGAGUCCUUCAUAGUAGAGUUUCUAAACUUAAAUCUAGAUCUAUCAUAAACAAUCCAUGCAUCCAUAGCUAUACGUCGUGCCAGCUCUGGUGCCAGUAAAGAUCUUCUCUCGUACUUCCUCUGGUUACGUUCACCCCAAAUUUCCCAUGUGAUAGACCCAAGUAUAUAGUCCAACACAUGCCCAUGCAGGUAACCGCCGUGUUCUUGUGACUGCUCAGUUCAUAUAUGAUUCGAUUCCAACAUCUGUCAAUAUCAAGAAGUCUCUGAUAUGUCUACGGGUAUGCCCACAUACCUCUCUAAAA